UACAGAGGUCUCAAGCGUUGUUCGGAUUCAUUGGGCGUAAAGGGUGCGUAGGUGGCGGGGGUAAGUCAGGUGUGAAAUCUCGGGGCUCAACCCCGAAACUGCACUUGAUACUGCCUUGCUCGAGUACUGGAGAGGAGAUUGGAAUUUACGGUGUAGCAGUGAAAUGCGUAGAUAUCGUAAGGAAGACCAGUGGCGAAGGCGAAUCUCUGGACAGUUACUGACACUGAGGCACGAAAGUCAGGGGAGCAAACGGG
rnacentral:rRNA from 1 species